UACAGAGGGGCAAGCGUUGUUCGGAAUUACUGGGCGUAAAGGGCGCGUAGGCGGCCUGCUAAGUCGAACGUGAAUCCCUGGGCUCAACCCAGGAACUGCGUCCGAUACUGGUUGGCUUGAAUCCGGGAGAGGGAUGUGGAAUUCCAGGUGUAGCGGUGAAAUGACGUAGAUAUCUGGAGGAACACCGGUGGCGAAGGCGAACAUCCUGGACCGGCAUUGACGCUGACGGCACGAAAGCCA
rnacentral:rRNA from 1 species